AGAUACAUUGAUCCUGCCUUGCUGGGUCUACUGGCAUUUUGUUUCUAGCAUUUAUUUUCAAAAAAAAGGGGGAGGGGAUUUUUCAGCAAAUAUAUGAAAAGCGCCAAAGCUGGUCAUUUUUAGGACACUUACCCAUGUCAUUCCAGAUGUACAAACGCCUGGCCGUCGGUCCCAUUGCACCAGCCAGUCUGAAAUUAACCGGGAGCGGCAUCAUGGUAACAGCUGGCGACACAAAAGCCAGGAGCUGGGUGAAAACUGAGGGAAGAUUUUGGUUUCAGCUAUUACGCAGUCUGGGGGAGUGUGGUGUGGUGCUUCCUGAACAAAAAUGAAGAUGAGCCCGUAUUUUCUAAACACCGUGUGAGCCAAAAACCAUAAGCCUGCCUUGCAUUGCUACAUCAGUCAUUACAAGCCUCAGGAAUGCAGGAAACCAAUGAUGUCAAUAGACGACAGAGACACCUGAGCACAUCAGAAAAGACACAAGGAAGAUAAAUAUUCUAUAAAAAGGCCAGGUGCAAGGGGAGGGCUCACCAUGUUAUGCAAAGCUCCCUGGAGCCCUGGAAUCCGAACAGCUGGCUCCUCCGGAACAUGCAACCCUCUUGCUGACGCCAGUCAGGUGAAGCUGUAAAUCAGAUGCCUGCUGGCCAGGAGCAGAGCACGUUGUCCAGCUGCUAGGAGUGUCCUCGGACAAAGAACAGGCAGCCAAGAUGGAACUCUGACUCUUCGGGGAAGUGUCACUGCAGCGAGGAGAGCACCCAGCUGUCCGUCUUGAUCCUCCCAGAGGCUGGGUGAGCGCAGCACGUGCAGCGUCUGCUCACCCAUAACGCUAUCUCUCUUCUCCCGUGGUGGUGUAAAGGUUGCUCUGUGUGGUGUGCCCUCUUAGCAACAUAAAUCACUGCCUGGCAAAGCUCUCCCCUCAGGAAUGUGACUGCCUCGCUGUGCUGCAGACCUGGCAUCAAACCAAUCCAGUCCCCGGCGAGGAGCUGCAAACACGUCGCCCCCUUCCGUCCUUCAAAUGGCUCCACUGGCUCCCCUGGCCUUUCCAGCAUCUGUUCCAUAUCACCCUCCUUGGUCGUCAUGUCCUCCCUGGACUCGCUCUAUCUCGCGCUGCAAACGUCUUCAUCCUCUGCUCCCCUUCCUAAUAUAAACAAUAGCGAAUCGGCUUGAGGGCUGAGCACAAACGUCCCCAUUCAGGAGCAAGCCCGUGGCCAGGAUACGUGUGUAAUGAUCCCCCUGGGAGGGAAGAUCAUCUGCGGGGAUGGAGCCCAGGACCUCGGGAUGCAAAAGCAACAGCUUCUACCGUUUGCCGUGAAAGAUCAGCACCAUUAGCUCAGAGUCAAUAGCGGACUCAGAACCUCUGUACGUGGUCUGGCCAUCAGAAGAUGAUGGGGCCAAGCUACCUUAGCAAGGGCUACACUUUCCCCCUGGCCGGGGAAGUUUAAUCUUGUGGUGUAUUGAAAACUGUGUUAAAAUUAUAA